CGGGUCCGGGCAGCGACCAACGGCCGGCGGUCCUACCGUGCCCACUCCCGCCUGGCGAGCGGCGCCGGAAGCGGUACCCGGGGGCAGGCCGUGUAGGUGCGCGAGGCUCCCAGCAUGGUGCUUGGCAUAGAAUAAAUGCUUAGGGAUGCCUGAGACUGGUCACACUACGCCUGCCCUCCCGAGGCUCCCCAUCUAUGAAUCAAAUGGAAACAAGAGUCACAAAUGGAGGCAGAUUCAGAAUCUCAUCCUGAAAAGGAGACAGAAAGUAGAGAGCUACAGGAUGCACAGCCACAGGAUGGCAAAGAAACAGCAUCCUGCCAAGCCCCAUCCCAGCCAGCCAGCCAGCCAGGAACAGAAAAAUCUGGAGGCUCCAGGCCAAAGGCUUUGCUGCUAGGCACACUGCCUGAGCACCCACCGCAGCCCUCUGGCAGGACAGCCCAGGAGUGUGAGCUCAUGCAAACCUAACAGCAGGCCAAAGUUGUGCCACAAAGGGGAUGACACAGUAUGGGGGACAGGAGCUGAGAAUCCCAGAACUGCUGUGGCAGAAUUACCGGAAGUCUGAGGUUCUGAAAGAGGAAACCUGGGAAAGAGAAGCCCUUUGGCCACCUACCACCCCAUCUCUCCAAAGUCAAGCACAAUGAUAAAGUCCUGAACAGUCCAAUAAACUUCUUGGUUGAGUACCUUAUGAAAUGUAUUGAUGCUAUGAUUAAAAGUAAAACUGUAUCUCUUGAAAGACCUGGAAUAUUCUAAUUUAAUAAUAAAAAGCCUAAAACAAAAACCUUCCAUGUUCACCUUUAGAGGAUGCUCGGGAACUGGGGUCUGAAAACUGAUAAAUGAAAGAAUCGGGCAUUUAUCCAUUCUCUCCUGUAUGAACUGUGUCUCAAAGUAACCAAAUAAUUGAUGAGGAGAUGUUUUUUAUAGAAGAAUUCCUGCUAAUAAAUGCAGGUGAAACAAUAGAUAAAGAAUGUCAUCAUUGGAGGGAGGGGGGCAUGGGCAAUAUAAGUAAC